GAUGAACGCUGGCGGCGUGCCUAAUACAUGCAAGUCGAGCGAAUGGAUUGAGAGCUUGCUCUUAUGAAGUUAGCGGCGGACGGGUGAGUAACACGUGGGUAACCUGCCCAUAAGACUGGGAUAACUCCGGGAAACCGGGGCUGAUACCGGAUAACAUUUUGAACCGCAUGGUUCGAAAUUGAAAGGCGGCUUCGGCUGUCACUUAUGGAUGGACCCGCGUCGCAUUAGCUAGUUGGGGAGGUAACGGCUCACCAAGGCAACGAUGCGGAGCCGACCUGGGAGGGUGAUCGGCCACACUGGGACUGAGACACGGCCCAGACUCCUACGGGAGGCAGCAGUAGGGAAUCUUCCGCAAUGGACGAAAGUCUGACGGAGCAACGCCGCGUGAGUGAUGAAGGCUUUCGGGUCGUAAAACUCUGUUGUUAGGGAAGAACAAGUGCUAGUUGAAUAAGCUGGCACCUUGACGGUACCUAACCAGAAAGCCACGGCUAACUACGUGCCAGCCGCCGCAGUAA
rnacentral:rRNA from 1 species